UACAUGGGGUGCAAACGUUGCUCGGAAUUAUUGGGCGUAAAGAGCGCGUAGGCGGUCCGGUAAGUCGGUUGUGAAAACUGGGGGCUCAACCCUCAGAGGCCGACCGAUACUGUCGGGCUAGAGUCCGGAAGAGGCGAGUGGAAUUCCUGGUGUAGCGGUGAAAUGCGCAGAUAUCAGGAGGAACACCAAUGGCGAAGGCAGCUCGCUGGGACGGUACUGACGCUGAGGCGCGAAAGCGUGGGGAGCAAACAGG
rnacentral:rRNA from 1 species